rnacentral:lncRNA from 1 species
GCUCGUCCCACAAAUAUUUUUCACAUUGUGCCCAUUCCUCUCCUUGGUGUAAGACAUAGACAUUGUCGAUGGCUCAGUUUUAGAUGAUGUAGUAGAGUGUGGCAUGCUGUUUGGAGCUAAUUUGGUUGAUGAUCAAUUAAUGCUACAGAGCUUCAGAUUAUGGUCCCCAUCAAUCCUCUGUGAGAAGUGGAUCAUAAAGUGUUUAUUAGUGGCUUCCGAUUGUCUUCUAGGAUCAUCAUCCAUCAUUGAGGAAAAUACUCUCCCUGUACUAAGGAAAUUAAGAAAUGUAAAUGUAAAUGUAUACAUU